rnacentral:rRNA from 1 species
AGAGUUUGAUCCUGGCUCAGGACGAACGUUGGCGGCGUGCCUAAUACAUGCAAGUAGAACGCUGACUACUUUAGCUUGCUAGAGUAGAAGGAGUUGCGAACGGGUGAGUAACGCGUAGGUAACCUGCCUACUAGCGGGGGAUAACUAUUGGAAACGAUAGCUAAUACCGCAUAACAGUGUUUAACACAUGUUAGAUGCUUGAAAGAUGCAAAUGCAUCACUAGUAGAUGGACCUGCGUUGUAUUAGCUAGUUGGUGGGGUAACGGCCUACCAAGGCGACGAUACAUAGCCGACCUGAGAGGGUGAUCGGCCACACUGGGACUGAGACACGGCCCAGACUCCUACGGGAGGCAGCAGUAGGGAAUCUUCGGCAAUGGGGGCAACCCUGACCGAGCAACGCCGCGUGAGUGAAGAAGGUUUUCGGAUCGUAAAGCUCUGUUGUAAGAGAAGAACGUGUGUGAGAGUGGAAAGUUCACACAGUGACGGUAACUUACCAGAAAGGGACGGCUAACUACGUGCCAGCAGCCGCGGUAAUACGUAGGUCCCGAGCGUUGUCCGGAUUUAUUGGGCGUAAAGCGAGCGCAGGCGGUUUAAUAAGUCUGAAGUUAAAGGCAGUGGCUUAACCAUUGUUCGCUUUGGAAACUGUUAAACUUGAGUGCAGAAGGGGAGAGUGGAAUUCCAUGUGUAGCGGUGAAAUGCGUAGAUAUAUGGAGGAACACCGGUGGCGAAAGCGGCUCUCUGGUCUGUAACUGACGCUGAGGCUCGAAAGCGUGGGGAGCAAACAGAAUUAGAUACCCUGGUAGUCCACGCCGUAAACGAUGAGUGCUAAGUGUUAGGCCCCUUCCGGGGGCUUAGUGCCCCCAGCUAACGCAU